AUGGCUCAGCUUUCUUCCCACAGGAGCUGGGAGCAAGAACACCACAGGGGCUCUGGCUGGAUGGGGAGGGGUGCAAGAAUCGCUCGGGGCCCUGGCCUAGCGUCCCACUUGUCUGUGUUCAGCCUGCUGUUGAACCAGGGCGGGGUGGCCGCUUGUCUGCACUCAGCCUGCUCGCUGAACCAGGUGGGGUGGGGCGAGGAGGGCGAGUGGCCUGUGGAGGCGUGGGGGUGGGAGGGGCUCCAAGCUCAGGCUGUGUUUAUCUGGAGGGGUCCUGCGUGCCGCCAGCGUUGCAGCACUGGGGGGAGGCGAGAGGUGGGACGACUGUGCCUGCCAAGAACCGGGACCUGGGACUCCGGGCGGGGCCGGCUUCCUUUCCUCCUGCGCUCAGCCCGUCUGGGUAGGGGUGCUGGCGCUCUGGGUGCUGGUGACGCACGUGAUGUACAUGCAGGAUUACUGGCGGACCUGGCUCAAGGGGCUGCGUGGCUUCUUCCUCGUGGGCGUCCUCUUCUCGGCCGUGUCCGUCGCCGCCUUCUGCACCUUCCUGGCUCUGGCCAUCACCCGGCACCAGAGUGAGCGCCCCGGCGUGGUGGGCGGGGCCGAGCCUCAGCGCCCAGGAUCCGGGAGCCCCUCCGCGGCGCGCGCGCGCCCUCUGGUGGUGGUAGCCUGGUCCUCUCCCUGCCCCCGGGGUGUCUGAGGACCCCACAGGUGGGACGCGGCUAGGGUGCCUGCUGCCCAAGCAGCCUGGGAUACGGAACUGUGAGUGGCCAGCCCCGACCGUCCCCCAUCCCCACCCCUUCCCUUAUUCUCCUUCCUUAGAGCCUCCGUUGCACUCGAGCCUUUCCACGGGAUUGGUUAGCAGAGGGGCUGGCGUCGGGGUGAGGACGGGUGGGGGCGGCCCCCGAGAGCAGACCCUCUCGAGUCACCCGCGGGGCUCCUGUCCCCCGCAG
rnacentral:lncRNA from 1 species